GCUAACCUUCAAUUUUGAGAACUUAGCAACAUUGGAGUCGGUAUCUGCUAUAUGGCAAAAAUCAAUACACAAGUUAACAUACAAUUAUGAGAUGUGCUAGAAAUAAAUUAUAGAUCUGUUUUAAAAAAUAAUUUAAUAUUUGGAUACUCCUCGCGUUUUUCCCCUACUCACAUUCAAAUUAACAAAAAGAGUCUUCUGACUCAAAUGUAAAUGUGAUGUUCCACAUGGUUUAGUUCUAGUGCAAAUAACUAAUCUGAUACGUUCCGGCCGUGUCCGACUAGAUGUCAAGCAAAUUUAUUUUGUGAAAUCGAUACAGUUCGGAUACGCAUAUCUAUUUCAAUUCGUUGCAGUCACGCUUUCAAAAAGGGUAUAAAAUGGAAGGCCCAAGUCCGAAUGAUAUCUUCGUUUUAAAGGAAGCUACAAUCAACAUGAAACUGAUUCUGUUCACUGCUGUACUAGCUGUCUUGGCAUCGGCCUGCUAUGCUGUUGCUGCUGGCCCUAUACAUAGGUCAGACCCACCAGAACCAGAACAAUAAAAGCUGGAACUGGUUUUUGAAAUAUAAUGUAUAUUCAAAUAUACAAAUCAUAAUGCAGAAAUAA